CGGGGGGAGCAAGCGUUGUUCGGAUUUACUGGGCGUAAAGGGCGCGUAGGCGGCGUGACAAGUCACUUGUGAAAUCUCCGGGCUUAACCCGGAGCGGCCAAGUGAUACUGUUGUGCUAGAGUGCGGAAGGGGCUACUGGAAUUCUCGGUGUAGCGGUGAAAUGCGUAGAUAUCGAGAGGAACACCUGCGGCGAAGGCGGGUAGCUGGGCCGACACUGACGCUGAGGCGCGAAAGCCAGGGGAGCGAACGGGAUUAGGUACCCCGGUAGUCCUGGCCUUAAACGAUGGAUACUUGGUGUCCGGGGUUACAUAGUCCCCGGGUGCCGGCGCUAACGCAUUAAGUAUCCCGCCUGGGGAGUACGGUCGCAAGACUG
rnacentral:rRNA from 1 species